GAGUGUUACAGCUCUUUUAGAAUAUGUCUAGCAGGUCUUCUGGUUUCUACCAGAAAGCACUA
rnacentral:snRNA from 1 species